CUCAGUUCGGAUUGGAGUCUGNAACCCGACUCCAUGAAGCUGGAUUCGCUAGUAAUCGCGCAUCAGCCACGGCGCGGUGAAUACGUUCCCGGGCCUUGUACACACCGCCCGUCAAGCCAUGGAAGCCGGGGGUGCCUGAAGUGCGCUGCCGCGAGGAGCGCCCUAGGGUAAAACCGGUGACUGGGGCUAAGUCGUAACAAGGUACC
rnacentral:rRNA from 1 species